CAUUCUACUGACAAACUAUCACAACUCCAAUCUGGUUUUCCGCGUCCCGAAAAUUACGAAUACGUCAAUCAUGAGGUUGUUCUUCGGCGACAAUUACGGCCACACAUUAUCAGCAACUUGAAAAGAAACCUUUCUUGCAAGACGUGGUUUUCGUGGCCGUGACGGUUUCUGUUGUUCUAAACUUAGGAAAUGACUAGAACCAGCGCCAUCUCUUGGUGAAGCAUCGCGAUCAAUAUCGCUAUUGCAAAAAGACGGCGAGAGACUGGAUUGUAGGGUAGGGAAUCUCAACAUUAUGGUCUGUGGUAUACUGGCGGAUAACAGCGAUAGUGCAAUACCGGCAGUUUCUAUAUUGCUCGUGGAUGACUAUUUUAUAAAAGUGUUUUGAUUUUUUGCUGCAAGAAUAAUAACCAUUUUGGAAUUACGUUUAAAAUGUGGUGUCAAGAAAUAAUGUGUGCGUGAAUUGGAAGAUUAGAAUAUUUUUUAAGAGUGAUAUUGGAUUGCGAGGAAUUCCAUGUGCCAAUUCCAAUUAAGGAUCUAAGUAUUCGGAUGAGAAUAUAAAUAUUUCUCGACAUUCAUAUAGGUGUAUAGUUGACUAGUAUACCAAAAAAAAUUUGGUUUUUCAAUUGUUUCUCUGAUAUAUGCUGUUUUGAAUCCAACCCAGAAGACCAGGUAACUCCAAGAUGAAGGUAGCUCCUUCGAAUUUUUUGCUUGAACAGAUCAGCAUAUCCGUUACAUGGAGAAGAAAACCCAGAAAAACUCCCUCAGUUUUUUUCCGUCACCAAGAGGAUUUUAACCCAUGACCGUCUACCUCUUCCGAUUUUUUGCAACAGCACUGUGGUCUAUACGAGCUUGAAACGGAAUUCGUAUAAAUAAGUCACUGUGAUUCGGACCUGGAUCGUCUGAUUGGGAGACGAAUGCUCUACCAAAGGAGCAACCAAGGCUCCAUACAAUUCAUGCUUUUACAGAACUGUUAAAAUUUUAGUUAAGUCUUCAUAAUGCUUUUUCUAGUGUAGGGGAUGUAUUUGGCUGUAUAGAAUUUCUCCUCCGGUAGAAAGAAUGACAAAUUGAAAAAAAAAAUAAUUGUUGAAUAAACUUCUAUAUAAACACAGUAAAAUGUAUGGCAAAAAUGUCGACAGAUAAUAGCACUUAUAAAAUACAAUAUUUACCCAAAUUAAAUUUCUAAAACCAAGGUGAACAUCAGUUAUACUUUAAAUCAUAAAUUUAUUUUAUUUUAAA